rnacentral:rRNA from 1 species
UCAGGCCUAACACAUGCAAGUCGAGCGGGGUUUUCGGACCUAGCGGCGGACGGGUGAGUAAUGCGUAGGAAGCUACCCGAUAGAGGGGGAUACCAGUUGGAAACGACUGUUAAUACCGCAUAAUGUCUACGGACCAAAGUGUGGGACCUCCGGGCCACAUGCUAUCGGAUGCGCCUACGUGGGAUUAGCUAGUUGGUGAGGUAAUGGCUCACCAAGGCGACGAUCCCUAGCUGGUUUGAGAGGAUGAUCAGCCACACUGGAAGUGAGACACGGUCCAGACUCCUACGGGAGGCAGCAGUGGGGAAUAUUGGACAAUGGGCGCAAGCCUGAUCUAGAGAGGCCGCGUGUGUGAAGAAGGCCUUCGGGU